rfam:Ictidomys tridecemlineatus contig085616, whole genome shotgun sequence.
GGGGUUGUGGCUCAGUGGUAGAGCACUUGCCUCGCAUACAUGAGGCACUGGGUUUGAUACUCAGCACCA